CGCGGGGUGGAGCAGCUUGGUAGCUCGUCGGGCUCAUAACCCGAAGGUCAUAGGUUCAAAUCCUGUCCCCGCUACCA
rnacentral:tRNA from 3 species